AGCCCUGACGGGAGGGGACGGGCUCCACCGGCCAUUCCCGCCGCGGGAGAGCCCUGACGGGAGGGGACGGGCUCCACUGGCCAUUCCCGCCGCGGGAGAGCCCUGACGGGAGGGAGUCGCGGAAGUGGCCGGGCGUGCGGAGCGGCGCCCCCUGGCGGGCGGCGGGCUAGCAGCGCCGGCGGGUCCGGGAGCGGCCACGGGAGCAGCCACGGCGGGAUUGUGUUGGGUAAACUUCCCUGUCCAAGCAUCCAGGAGCCACUCUGGUGGUCGCACUCUCACCACCUGAGCUGGGACCGAAGCCCCUCCACAGCAACAACACCCCACACUCACACAGUCAGACAGGGCUUCCUUCCGGCUCGACCCCACACGCUUCUCCAGAAGUCGUUCAAGUGAUCCUUUGGGAAAGCAACAAGGAAAAAGUUAGAAGUGUGUCGCUUUCCCUAAUGCAAAGGUCAAACUCAAAGCAAACCUUUUCGCUUUUACACAGAAAUCCCCUCCUAGAGCUUUCCUAAUGUUUCAGCCUUGGUUGUCGACCCUUGUGCUUUUAAUACGUUUUAGCACAUCUCUGGAAAUGUUUAAAAUAGGCAGAGAAAUUAAUGACCCCUGUUUCCCUGACCACUGUCUCUCAAAUAACCACAGAACAAUUGCAGUCUGUGCUUGCAUGUGCUCUCCAGUGAGGGACUGUCAGUUGUGUUUGUUGUGAGAGUCACGUUGCUUUAAGAAUUUUUAUGCCAACAUUUAGUAAAUGGCAAAAUAAAACAAGUUCGCUUAAGAAUACAAAUGAACAUUGUUCACACACACACACACACACACACACACACACACACACACACACACACACAUUUUGAUUCUCUCUUCAACAGACUUGGAACAAAAAGAUUUUGAAAGGAAGUUUUCUUUGGUAAGUGUUGGAUACUCAUCGCAAGUGAGAAACUAGUUAAAGUCCUAUUACUGUCUCAUUUCCUGUUAGCUUGAGAGAUAAAGACAGUGCUUCCAAUAUGGUCUUUAUGUAUCCCAGAUUUUUUUUAUGCUAGUAUAAAUUAUAGUUUAAAUUCAAAGAAGCAAAGAAAUAUGGGCUCUGUAUUUUCCACACAAGUCUACAGGAAUUACUUUGCUAAAGGUGCUGCAGCACUUCUUUCAAUCAAGCCUAUUGUCUGCAGAUGGAGUAUUGUAUUUCUAUUUGCAAAGUAUUAUUUUUCAUCUUUGUGGGCAACUUCUGCUGCUCUCUACAGAAAAUGUGGGAUCUGAUCAAGGACAGGACGCCCACAUGAACUAAUAUACUAGAACAAUUUGUUACACGUGACAGCCUACUGAUGGUGAAAACAUCAGUUUCCAACAUUUACCCUUUUGUCGCAUGAAAAAGCAUGGAGUGAGGCAUGAGCAUUUAAAGAGAAAUAUGGAAAUUAAUUAAAAGAAUGUCAGUCUGAUGCUGCAUGCCUUGAUCCUUGCUCAGAUUUAAGCCAAUGCAAAUUUUGCUAUUAACUUCAAAGUGAUAGCUGUGACAUCAUUCAUUGAUCAUGAGAGUUACUUCAUAUAUGAUCAAAUAAUCACAUCAAGGGCUUGGUCCUUCAAGCUGCUAAAAAACUGUUGCACAUUGAAGCUUUUCUAUUUGCAGAAAUAUGUUCAAAGAGCCUUGUACAAAGUAUAGAAAAAUGUGCAGAGGGAUCAAUGCUGUUGGAAACCUCAGUGCCCAUAUGGGAAAGAAAAAAAAAAUUCAAACCACUCUUGAUGACUGUGGUGGAGAGGAGGCAUAGCCUGGUGUUGAAAUGUCAUCCAGUGCAUUCAAAUAACAUGCACAAUAGCCACUUAAAAAGAUUUUCAUUUCCUUCUAAUGCCAACCAGUUGGAGCAGUUUUCUCAAGAGCUCUUAACAGUGGAGCUUAAAAAAGGGGAGAGCAGGGCUAACCACAAAGUUCAGCCAGGAACAUGGCAAUUUGGGCGGCAAUGCUAGUAAAGCAGAAGGAUGGACAUGAAUUCUGAAAUAGAUCCUGCUGGACAGAGCCCCAAAUUAUAAGGUAACAUUGUGGCUCUGCUGGCAUGUGUGGGAAGCCUUUGUUGACUUCUAUGAAACCAGAUUUCACUGCUGUAGUCAUUAGCUUCUCAUUUAAAUGUGUGGCAUGCGUGCACUUAGCACAUAUGUUUUUCUUGCCAAAACAGCAAAAAUAUAAGGCUUCAUGUGUUAGUAUAGUAAUUUCAAAAUAUUAACAGCAAAAUUAAAAGGGAUAAUAUAUCCACACUUUUGUUUCGUUGUCUAAUUUCAGUUUUGUAUCAUCUAUAAAUGUCAAUGGGGAAAAAGACAUCAAAUAAAAAAGAAACAAAAAUGUCUGCCACAUUCAGUUUGGCUGAAGCUUUGCAUCAGAUAGUAUUUCAGUACUGAACUUGCAAAUAUGUGAAAUAUGAGAUUAUGAUAAUAAAUAUUUAACCAUAUUCUUGGUUAUGUUUUUCUAAGGGUUAACAGUUUUCUACUGAAUGAAAAGCAAACAAACAGUGGUGAACUAAGAAGUUAAAACUGCAUUCUCUGUGUAUACCCACUGUGAUAAUACUUCCUUAAAUGACAAUGCAAUAAAAACCCUUUCCAGUAUAUGCAUCAGAAAAAGGAUUUCCUAACUACAAGUUGCACAGAAAAUUGAAAAAUCACGUGGAAUGUAUUUUGUGUGAGAGAAAAUGGUAGUUAAAUUAGGAUUAGUUAUAAAAUAGUUCACCCCCCUAUAAUUUCAGUUUGAAAGCACGUUUUUAAUAUUUUCACUUUUGGUUCACUGCAGGUCUUAUUUUGUUCUACCACUGAUCACCAUAGUCCUCGGAUCCCAAGGGCUGGAUUUAUGGUUGACUGUGUUACAGUAGCUAGACUGAACUUGGCUUCUCACCCUACGGGUUUUUUCCAUCAUGCAGUUUCUCCACGGGCUGAGAACUGAAUUCUGUGCUGUGUUUCAAAUUAUCCCAGAGACCCAGAUUGGUCGCGAAUCUUAUUUCCACUUGUGUCCCUUGAAGGGAGCUGCAAAGUUUGGAGUUUGGAAGCUGGGCUGUCACAUUUCUGGCCAUUUCCUGUUUUCGGCAAGUUAACAGACAUGCACUGUUUCUCAUACUUUUUGAAAGUGGAUCUUCCCUAUGUCUUAUUUGUGUAAAUGUUUAAUUGCCUUAACGUUGUGCCCUGUCCUGCCAAAUUUUCAGUUCCUCGGGAAGAGUGCAAAGUUGCUGUAAUUAGUGGCUGCAGGAAUAAAACCUUCACCAUCAUAAAGGAAACUUUCCUAUCAUCAACGGUCCUUCUUUGCCAGUGAAUGUUCUCGGUUCUUGACAUCAGGCAACAUGAUCACAAAUCCCACUCAACAGGACUGGAGAAACAACUUGGGUCGCUUCCACCUCAGAGUCAUUUGAACUGCAAACCCUCUGCCAUGAAUAUUCUCCUUUGUAUAUAGAAAGUUUUGUAAUAAAUUUUUCUCUUUGUGUGAA